UUUGGCCCAAUAACACACCAUAGCCCACACGCCUGGACACCUAACCCUUCGGCCUUCGUUGCGGACCCGCCACUCACUUCUUCUCUCGACCGCAUCUUUUCUCCGCGCCGCCGCUCGCCUGCACUUCUACGUGUGAACCGCGUCCGCGCCUAUGGCCUGCCCGUGCCCAGCUGCCCCCUCUCCACACGAGCCUCUCUAGGCGUCAAGCGUGCCAUUAAGCAACCGUGGCCCCCACCCCUCCUCGGCUCUCUGCGUGAGCACAAGCACGUCUCUGUAGCCCAUGUUCAACGGAAGCGAAAGUGCCGCUGGACCACAUACGAUUGUUGAUGGUAAAGAAGUUGUGAACUUUGCAUCAGCAAACUACCUCGGUUUAAUUGGCAACGAAAAGAUUAUUGAUUCUUGCAUCAGUUCAUUGGAGAAAUAUGGUGUUGGUUCUUGUGGUCCACGUGGCUUUUAUGGAACAAUUGAUGUCCAUCUUGACUGUGAGUCAAAGAUAGCUAAAUUUUUGGGGACUCCAGACUCCAUUCUUUAUUCAUAUGGGAUUUCUACAAUAUUCAGUGUGAUACCUGCCUUCUGUAAGAAAGAAGAUAUCAUAGUCGCGUAAGUUCACCGUAUUACAAAAUUAUGAAAUUCACAAGUAUUAUUGGAACCUUGACUUGUUUGGUGUAUCGAGUUAACUGUACAUGGGUAGUUUGAUGUGAUUGCGGUGACGAGGGUGUUGACUGUUUGGUGAAAUGCUUGGGACAAAGUGGCCAACAAGAAUGGAGUCAUGGAACAUCGACAGGAGGGGUGCGGCAGCAGCAACCGAUGUAUCCCUUGGACAAUCUGGUUUUGACAAGAUGCAAAUCAAUCCGCUGUACACUGUAUUCCGCACUUGCACAGAUUGUUUGGUUAAUUACAAGAUUAUCUCAGUGUUUUGAUUGGUACACUUAUGUAUGAAAUAUUGAUUGGUACUCAUCUAUAUUAUAUGAAUUAUAUUAUUAUUAAAUA